GACAGAGGUCCCGAGCGUUGGUCGGAAUCACUGGGCUUAAAGCGUGUGUAGGCGGCGGCCUAAGUACCUUGUGAAAUCCCACGGCUCACCCGUGGAACUGCUCGGUAUACUGGGUCGCUUGAGCCACUUAGGGGAUACCGGAACAAAUGGUGGAGCGGUGAAAUGCGUAGAUAUCAUUUGGAACGCCAAUGGUGAAAACAGGUAGCUGGGAGUGUGCUGACGCUGAGACACGAAAGCCAGGGGAGCAAACGGG
rnacentral:rRNA from 1 species